UUGGUCUUCGCUUUGCUCAACAUACUUCUUUAGAGAAGUGGUUGUAAAAUCUCUUGCAAAUUGUAAGAUACUUUCACCUUCCUCUGAAAGGAAUGAUGCCUCAUACAAAGAUAGCAUUCCCUCCCAAUCCUCAGAUAGACACAUUUUGAAGUUUCCCAUCUCAUCUCGAAAACUAUUGAAGAUCUCUUGGGGAAUUUUAUAUCCCUG
rnacentral:misc_RNA from 1 species